rnacentral:rRNA from 1 species
GAUGAACGCUGGCGGCGUGCCUAAUACAUGCCAGUCGAGCGAACGGACGAGAAGCUUGCUUCUCUGAUGUUAGCGGCGGACGGGUGAGUAACACGUGGAUAACCUACCUAUAAGACUGGGAUAACUUCGGGAAACCGGAGCUAAUACCGGAUAAUAUUUUGAACCGCAUGGUUCAAAAGUGAAAGACGGUCUUGCUGUCACUUAUAGAUGGAUCCGCGCUGCAUUAGCUAGUUGGUAAGGUAACGGCUUACCAAGGCAACGAUGCAUAGCCGACCUGAGAGGGUGAUCGGCCACACUGGAACUGAGACACGGUCCAGACUCCUACGGGAGGCAGCAGUAGGGAAUCUUCCGCAAUGGGCGAAAGCCUGACGGAGCAACGCCGCGUGAGUGAUGAAGGUCUUCGGAUCGUAAAACUCUGUUAUUAGGGAAGAACAUAUGUGUAAGUAACUAUGCACAUCUUGACGGUACCUAAUCAGAAAGCCACGGCUAACUACGUG